rnacentral:rRNA from 1 species
GACGAACGCUGGCGGCGUGCCUAAUACAUGCAAGUCGAACGCACUCUCGUUUAGAUUGAAGGAGCUUGCUCCUGAUUGAUAAACAUUUGAGUGAGUGGCGGACGGGUGAGUAACACGUGGGUAACCUGCCCUAAAGUGGGGGAUAACAUUUGGAAACAGAUGCUAAUACCGCACAAAACCUAACACCGCAUGGUGUAGGGUUGAAAGAUGGUUUCGGCUAUCACUUUAGGAUGGACCCGCGGUGCAUUAGUUAGUUGGUGAGGUAAAGGCUCACCAAGACCGUGAUGCAUAGCCGACCUGAGAGGGCAAUCGGCCACACUGGGACUGAGACACGGCCCAGACUCCUACGGGAGGCAGCAGUAGGGAAUCUUCCACAAUGGACGAAAGUACUGAUGGAGCAACGCCGCGUGAGUGAAGAAGGUUUCGGAUCGUAAAACUCUGUUGUUGGUAGAAGGAAUAGUAUCUGAUAGUAACUGAUCAGGUAGUGACGGUAUCCAACC